rnacentral:misc_RNA from 1 species
GGAUGAGAAAGUAACAGAUGAUGCACAUCUAUCUGUUUUAAUCUAUCAUGGAGGUAGUAGGACUAAGAAACCGGCGGAACUGGCUAAGUAUGAUGUGGUCCUGACUACGUAUGCCAUUGUGACAAACGAAGUUCCUAAACAAGCUUUAGUUGAAGAGGAUGACGAUGACCAAAAAAAUGGAGAGAGAUUCGGAAUAUCUUCCGACUUCUCUUCAAGUAAGAAGCGGAAAAAACCAUCGCUUAACAAGAGAGGGAAAAAGGGCAGAACAGGAUUUGAUGCAGAUGACUUUGAUCCUAAUUGUGGUACUCUUGCGAAAGUCAGUUGGUUUAGGGUGAUUUUAGAUGAAGCCCAGACAAUCAAGAAUCAUAGAACACAAGUAGCUAGAGCAUGCUGUAGCCUUAGAGCAAAACGAAGGUGGUGCUUAUCUGGAACAC